AAUGUCUGCAGCGAUAAAAUGGACUUCGUUUGUUUCUGGAUUAUAUUUGAACAGCCUCUUUUCACUGUCAUGGAAGAAAAGAUUCCCUUGCUUAGAAACUGUCACUGGUCUACACCACAACCUCCAUAUCCAAGGGUGAAGAGCUCUAGGGAAUAAACAAAAUGAGUACGUCUUGGUCCAUGUAUCUUCCUGUGGAUCCAAGCUCCAUAUCCUUACUUCCCAAUGAGAAACUCCAUAAUAUGUUUUAACCAAGGCUAGACGAUCUUCAAGGUUAACUAGCUCGCUCGGUUCCCGGGGUGUGGGCGGUGUUGGGACAUCACGAAACUGUUCAGUGUGAAGAUCCAGAGCUAGAAUCUUGAAACGCAUGUUAAGAUGUGUCACUCACAUGUUAAACGCAUGUCUCGGGACUGCUCCGCGGAA